UACGGAGGGGGUUAGCGUUGUUCGGAAUUACUGGGCGUAAAGCGUACGUAGGCGGAUUAGUAAGUUGGGGGUGAAAUCCCGGGGCUCAACCCCGGAACUGCCUCCAAAACUACUAGUCUUGAGAUCGUGAGAGGUGAGUGGAAUUCCGAGUGUAGAGGUGAAAUUCGUAGAUAUUCGGAGGAACAUCAGUGGCGAAGGCGGCUCACUGGCACGAUACUGACGCUGAGGUACGAAAGUGUGGGGAGCAAACAGG
rnacentral:rRNA from 1 species